rnacentral:rRNA from 1 species
CUACGGGCGGCAGCAGUGGGGAAUAUUGCACAAUGGGGGAAACCCUGAUGCAGCAACGCCGCGUGAAGGAAGAAGGUUUUCGGAUCAUAAACUUCUAUCAGCAAGGAAGAUAAUGACGGUACUUGACUAAGAAGCCCCGGCUAACUACGUGCCAGCAGCCGCGGUAAUACGUAGGGGGCAAGCGUUAUCCGGAAUUACUGGGUGUAAAGGGAGCGUAGACGGUAAUAUAAGUCAGAUGUGAAAGCCCGAGGCUCAACCUCGGGACUGCAUUUGAAACUGUAUAACUAGAGUACAGGAGAGGAAAGUGGAAUUCCUAGUGUAGCGGUGAAAUGCGUAGAUAUUAGGAGGAACACCAGUGGCGAAGGCGACUUUCUGGACUGUAACUGACGUUGAGGCUCGAAAGCGUGGGGAGCGAACAGGAUUAGAUACCCGAGAGUC